UUUGGCGUCGGCGUAGCGGCCGGGGGCGUCGCCGAACUCUGCGAGCACCCGGGCGCCGAGGAUCGGUCCGAGGCCGGGCUGG
rnacentral:sRNA from 1 species